CAGCAGCCGCGGGAAUACAGAGGGUGCGAGCGUUAAUCGGAUUUACUGGGCGUAAAGCGUGCGUAGGCGGCUUCUUAAGUCGGAUGUGAAAUCCCUGAGCUUAACUUAGGAAUUGCAUUCGAUACUGGGAAGCUAGAGUAUGGGAGAGGAUGGUAGAAUUCCAGGUGUAGCGGUGAAAUGCGUAGAGAUCUGGAGGAAUACCGAUGGCGAAGGCAGCCAUCUGACCUAAUACUGACGCUGAGGUACGAAAGCAUGGGGAGCAAACAGGAUUAGAUACCCCUGUAGUCCCUGUCUCUUAUAC
rnacentral:rRNA from 1 species